rnacentral:pre_miRNA from 1 species
CGGAGGAGGCCGGAUCCUGGGCUGUGUCCCGCCCGGCGCCCUGUGGUGCCGGGGCCUGCGCUGUUGGAUUCGCGCUCCCGCCCCGCAGCCCCCU